rnacentral:rRNA from 1 species
GAGUUUGAUCGUGGCUCAGAUUGAACGCUGGCGGCAGGCUUAACACAUGCAAGUCGAACGGAGAUAGUGUGCUUGCACAUUAUUUUAGUGGCGAACGGGUGAGUAAUGCCUAGGAAUCUGCCCAUUAGCAGGGGAUAACGUGUGGAAACGCACGCUAAUACCGCAUACGCCUACGGGGAAAGGCAGGGACUCUUUUAGAGCCUUGCACUAAUGGAUGAGCCUAGGUCGGAUUAGCUAGUUGGUGGGGUAAAGGCCGUACCAAGGCGACGAUCUGUAGCGGGUCUGAGAGGAUGAUCCGCCACACUGGAACUGAGACACGGUCCAGACUCCUACGGGAGGCAGCAGUGGGGAAUAUUGGACAAUGGGGGCAACCCUGAUCCAGCCAUGCCGCGGUGUGUGAAGAAGGCCUUUUGGUUGUAAAGCACUUUAAGCGAGGAGGAGGCUACCCUGACUAAUACUCAGGAGUAGUGGACGUUACUCGCAGAAUAAGCACCGGCUAACUCUGUGCCAGCG